rnacentral:tRNA from 1 species
GAGGGUACAGCUGAGUGGUAGAGCACAUGCUUAGCAUGCACAAGGUCCUGGGUUCAAUCCCCAGUAUCUCCA